GCCUCUUGAUUAAACCAUAAGAGGUCCAGCCUGCCCAGUGACAUUGUUCAACGGCCGCGGUAUCCUAACCGUGCGAAGGUAGCGUAAUCACUUGUCCUUUAAAUGAAGACUAGUAUGAAUGGCCCCACGAAAGCUAUACUGUCUCCUUUUUCUAAUCAGUUAAACUAAUCUCCCCGUGAAGAAGCGGGGAUAAACAUAUAAGACGAGAAGACCCUAUGGAGCUUCAAACAACUGAAACACUUGUAUAUCCUCCCCUCACCUACCAACAUUUAACCUCACAUUUUGUUUCUAGUUUUAGGUUGGGGUGACCACGGAGAAAAAACUAACCUCCACGACGAAAGAGACAUCUCUAAACAAAAAGCUACAUCUUUAUGUAUUAACACAUUAACCUUUAUUGACCCA
rnacentral:rRNA from 1 species